ensembl:snRNA U6 U6 spliceosomal RNA
GUGCUCAUUUCAACAGCAGGUAUACUAAAAUUGGAAUGAUACAGAGAAGAUUAGCAUGCCCUCUGUGCAAGGAUGACAUAAAAAGAAGGAAAUCUUGCAUUUUGUG